UAAUUUGACGCUUUAUUUUAACAGAUCAAACUCAAAUCAUUUUGAGGGUAAUUUUAUUAAAUGAGAAGGGAAAUAAUAACUCAUGUAGUCAGAACAGGUGUGUUGGUUUAGCUUUUAGCCGCUACGCUAGUCUCUUCUAGACCAGCAGGUGUGUUGGUUUAGCUUUUAGCCGCUACGCUAGUCUCUUCUAGACCAGCAGGUGUGUUGGUUUAGCUUUUAGCCGCUACGCUAGUCUCUUCUAGACCAGCAGGUGUGUUGGUUUAGCUUUUAGCCGCUACGCUAGUCUCUUCUCUUUGGAAGACCUGCACACGGUACAGGCAGUCAGAACAGGUGUGUGUGUGUGUGUGUGUGUGUGUGUGUGUGUGUGUGUGUGUGUGUGUGUAGACAAGAAGCAGGACAUUAAGUUGGUUGAUGUCAGCCCAGGUGUAACUGCCUAUCUAGACCGGCAGGUGUGUUUUCAGAAGGCUUUGAACAGCUGGUUGGGCAGGUACCCCAGAUGCAGGAAGGAGGUCUGAGCUUCUCUCUCCAGAUUGGCCAGCUCCUGAACUGUAGGAGCCAACGCAGCCACAUGAC